rnacentral:rRNA from 1 species
UGAACGCUGGCGGCAGGCCUAACACAUGCAAGUCGAGCGGCAGCGACUUAACUGAACCUUCGGGGAACGUUAAGGGCGGCGAGCGGCGGACGGGUGAGUAAUGCCUGGGAAUAUGCCCUGAUGUGGGGGAUAACUAUUGGAAACGAUAGCUAAUACCGCAUAAUCUCUUCGGAGCAAAGAGGGGGACCUUCGGGCCUCUCGCGUCAGGAUUAGCCCAGGUGGGAUUAGCUUGUUGGUGAGGUAAUGGCUCACCAAGGCAACGAUCCCUAGCUGGUCUGAGAGGAUGAUCAGCCACACUGGAACUGAGACACGGUCCCAGACUCCUACGGGAGGCAGCAGUGGGGAAUAUUGCACAAUGGGGGAAACCCUGAUGCAGCCAUGCCGCGUGUGUGAAGAAGGCCUUCGGGYUGUAAAGCACUUUCAGUAGGGAGGAAGGUAGUGUAGAUAACACCUGCAUUAUUUGACGUUACCUACAGA